GGUGCGAGCGUUGUCCGGAAUUAUUGGGCGGAAAGAGCUCGUAGGCGGUGUGUCGCGUCGGCCGUGAAAACCUGCAGCUUAACUGUGGGCUUGCGGUCGAUACGGGCAUCACUGGAGUUCGGCAGGGGAGACUGGAAUUCCUGGUGUAGCGGUGAAAUGCGCAGAUAUCAGGAGGAACACCGGUGGCGAAGUCGGGUCUCUGGGCCGAUACUGACGCUGAGGAGCGAAAUCGUGGGGAGCGAACAGG
rnacentral:rRNA from 1 species